GUGGCUCUGUUACCGGAUCUUUGUUUCGUCACCGUUCCGCGACAGAAAUGGACGACGAGUCGCGUGAUAAUCGAGGAAGUUAGUUGUUGACUACCGUGGUGCUUUGGUAAAAAUUCACAUCUGAGGCAGAAAGAAGACAAGACUACACCAUGGAAGGACUAUUUUUUUUUUGAAAUUUUGACUGCAACUUAAGAAAAUCCAUGUAUUAUUCAGAGCUGCUGACACUGACAUUGUUGAAAUUUAUUCUUUCUUAUCUGUUUGUGAAGAAGUGCAUGAUAUAAAAAGGUAUUUGAAAUAAA